CAGAAGGCAAAAAACUGCGUAGGAGAUCAUUAAUACAAAAGUAUUAUAUAAACCAAACCUGAUGUUGCCAGCUCCUUCAAUGAAUGCAGCAGUGUGACAGCCAGCAAUCAAAAGUAACAAGAUAUCGAGGAAAUGCAGAAGGCAAAAAACUGCAUAGGAGAUCAUUAAUACAAUAGUAUUAUAUAAACCAAGCCUGAUGUUGGCCGCUCAUUCAAAGAAUGCAGCAGUGUGACAGCCAGCAAUCAAAAGUAACAAGAUGUCGAGAAAAUGCAGAGUGUAAUAAACUGUGUAGGAGAUUAUGAUUGCAAUAGAAUAAAAUCGACCAAGCCUGAAGUCCUUCAAUGCACGCAGCAGUGUGACAGCCAGCAAUCAAAAGUUACAAGAUAUCGAGGAAAUGCAGAAGGCAAAGAACUGCGUAGGAGAUUAUUAAUACAAUAAUAUUAUAUCAACCAAGCCUGAUGUCGGUAGCUUCUUCAAUGAAUGCAGCAGUGUGACAGCCAGCAAUCAAUAGUGACAAGAAUCUAGGAAAUACAGAAGGCAAAGAAGCAGAUGUCAUCAAAGAAGAUCUUUGUUCCUGCAAUGUUUCCGCAGACGAUACAUCCAACAGAGCGAAGUGGAAGGAAAAGACUCGGAAAAAAGACCCCACCACCAUAUGGGAACAAUGCAAGGGAGA